rnacentral:rRNA from 1 species
GCUGGCGGCGUGCCUAAUACAUGCAAGUCGAGCGGAACCUUAGGAGCUUGCUCCUUUGGUUUAGCGGCGGACGGGUGAGUAACACGUGGGCAACCUGCCCUGCAGAUCGGGAUAACUCCGGGAAACCGGUGCUAAUACCGAAUAGUUUGCGGCCUCUCAUGAGGCUGUACGGAAAGACGGUUUCGGCUGUCACUGCAGGAUGGGCCCGCGGCGCAUUAGCUAGUUGGUGGGGUAAUGGCCUACCAAGGCGACGAUGCGUAGCCGACCUGAGAGGGUGAUCGGCCACACUGGGACUGAGACACGGCCCAGACUCCUACGGGAGGCAGCAGUAGGGAAUCUUCCGCAAUGGACGAAAGUCUGACGGAGCAACGCCGCGUGAGUGAAGAAGGUUUUCGGAUCGUAAAACUCUGUUGUGAGGGAAGAACAAGUACCA